UACAUGGGGUGCAAACGUUGCUCGGAAUUAUUGGGCGUAAAGCGCGCGUAGGCGGUUACUCAAGUCGGAUGUGAAAGCCCUCGGCUUAACUGAGGAAGUGCACCCGAAACUGAGUAGCUAGAGUACUAAAGAGGGUCGCGGAAUUCCCGGUGUAGAGGUGAAAUUCGUAGAUAUCGGGAGGAACACCGGUGGCGAAGGCGGCGACCUGGGUAGAUACUGACGCUGAGGCGCGAAAGCGUGGGGAGCAAACAGGAUUAGAUACCCUGGUAGUCCACGCCGUAAACGAUGGGUGCUAGAUGUUUCUGGUAUUGACCCCGGAGGCGUCGUAGCUAACGCGUUAAGCACCCCGCCUGGGGAGUACGGCCGCAAGGCUAAA
rnacentral:rRNA from 1 species